UACGUAGGGGGCAAGCGUUGUCCGGAAUCAUUGGGCGUAAAGAGCGCGUAGGCGGUCCGGUAAGUCCGCUCUGAAAGUCCGGGACUCAACCCCGGGAGGCGGGCGGAUACUGUCGGGCUAGAGUCCGGAAGAGGCGAGUGGAAUUCCUGGUGUAGCGGUGAAAUGCGUAGAUAUCGGGAGGAACACCUGUGGCGAAAGCGGCUCACUGGACCACAACUGACGCUGAGGCGCGAAAGCUAGGGGAGCAAACAGG
rnacentral:rRNA from 1 species